GGGCCGCCAUUUUGGGUGGUAGGGCUGGGCGCGGAGCGGGGCACCGCGGGCGGCGGCGGCCCGCGGUGGGGGGGGGAAGCGAGUGCGGCCUGCGGGCGGGCGGCCCCCAUGGCCGGGCAGUUCGACUCCGAGGACCGGGCGAGCUGGUACUGGGGGCGGCUGAGCCGGGCCGAGGCGGUGUCGCUGCUGCAGGGGCAGCGCCACGGGACCUUCCUAGUGCGCGACUCGGGCACCAUCCCCGGCGACUUCGUGCUCUCGGUGUCCGAGAGCUCCCGCGUCUCGCACUACAUCGUCAACAGCCUGGGGCCGGCGGGAGGCCGGCGGGCCGGCGGCGAGGGCCCUGGGGCCCCGGGGUUGAAUCCCACCAGAUUUCGAAUAGGUGACCAAGAGUUUGAAUCUUUGCCAUCUUUACUGGAAUUCUACAAAAUACACUAUUUGGACACUACAACCUUGAUAGAACCAGUUUCCCGAUCCAGGCAGAAUAGUGGUGUUAUCCUCAGGCAGGAGGAAGCUGAGUAUGUGCGAGCUCUCUUUGACUUUAAUGGAAAUGAUGAAGAAGAUCUUCCAUUUAAGAAAGGAGACAUACUGAGAAUCCGGGAUAAACCUGAAGAGCAAUGGUGGAAUGCAGAAGACAGCGAAGGAAAGAGGGGAAUGAUACCUGUUCCUUACGUCGAGAAGUAUAGACCUUCCUCUGCUUCAGUAUCUACUCUGAUUGGAGGUAACCAGGAUAGUUCCCACCCACAACCACUGGGUGGGCCGGAGCCAGGGCCCUAUGCCCAGCCCAGCAUCAACACUCCGCUCCCUAACCUUCAGAAUGGCCCUAUUUAUGCCCGGGUUAUCCAGAAGCGAGUCCCUAAUGCCUACGACAAGACAGCCUUGGCUUUGGAGAAUUGGCAAAUGCAGCACAUUCUACAGAUCUGAUAAUUGAUGUGCAAUCUGGGAGGUGUGAAAUUUCUUCCUGUUGUAGUAGCAGAACUCUGCCAUCUUGACCUUACCAAAGAGGAGUACUUGGAAUAAAACCACAGCAUACAGAAGUCUUCACAUGAACCUUCAUUUUUGCUUUGAAGCGUAUGGGAUAUAUUUAGUUUUAAAACUUCUGAUGAAGACUGAGACAAAUCUGGCUUUAUAGCAGGGUACAGUGUUGUUCUUGAGGUGCUGUGCUUGGUGGGAUGAUGCACAAUAGACUAACAAUACCGUAAGUCAAUGUUAAAAGUGAGGAGAAUUCAGAGAGAACAUCCACUUCUAGUCUAAAUGUUUUAAAAUUCCAGCACUUGUAAUAAUGAGUAAUUUUUUUGAAAGGUUCUCUGCAUUGUCUUCAGGAGAGUAUUUGAACUGUAGAUUAAUAUGCAGAGUUUCAAAGCAGAUCUAGAAAGAUCUCUAAGUUAUUAAGGAACUAAUGGAGCCAUUUUAUUAACCUAGCAUUUGUGAAAUGACCCAUGCUUACUUAAAGUCAGUCCUGCUUUGAUAGGUGUAAAGGUAGAUAUAUAUAAAUGAAAUGAGAAGUUACAUAUAAAUGAAAUGUGAAUGAAAGAUUGUAUCAGAAAGAGAGAGUGGUUGCUAAAUGAAAUUACCGUAAUGGUAAAAAAGGAAUAUUUUUUAUUCCUCAGAGGUCUUUCCUCUUUCAACAAUUAUUGAAAUGCAGAUUUUGAGUGUAGCUUCUUAGAGUAAGGAGAAUUCAUAUAUGGGUGUCCCUUUGCUGCAAUGACCCUGAAACACCCCUGAAAACCAAACAAACAGCUACAGGAUGCUUCUGGGAGCGAGGGAAUGUCACAAGCAUCCCAUAUUCUUACUCACUAUCAUUGCACUGUUGAACCCACCUUUUCAGGUCGGUGAGCUGGUAAAGGUCACAAAGAUUAACGUGAGUGGUCAGUGGGAAGGAGAAUGUAAUGGCAGACGUGGUCACUUUCCAUUCACACAUGUCCACCUGCUGGAUCAACAGAAUCCUGAUGAGGACUUCAGCUGAGUGUGGCUCAACAGUUGCGCUUACAGAUGGGAACAAUCUCAACUUGUUUUUAUUGCAGAUGCCAUCAAGACUAUGUUCUGACAGAUGUUGAAAGCGGUAUUGCUUGUAUAAGCAUUCUGAUAACCUGCAAACCCCUGGGACUGAACACCACCAUUCCUUAAUUAAGGGUCAUGUAAUUCAGGGUACGACAGUAGAUAACUUGUGUGUCAAGUGGCAGAACUAGUACAUGAUUAUAGGUUGUAAUGCCUGCUUAUGUCCAUGUGCACAGCAGACUGGACCUUGCCAGCGGUAGCAGUUGGAGAAAGCAGUCAUGUAGAUGUUAUGAUAACAUUUAUAGCUCUCUCCGGUCCUAUUGCUUAUGUUGCUUCUUCCUCAGGCAAUGAACAUCAACCUUAGACAAUUCAAUACAUAGAUAGAAAUUUCACAAAUUUAUCCUGGAGCUUUCUCCAUUUUUUUUUUUUUUCCAUCCUGAAUUCUCUGUCCUAGAAAGGCUAUAUAGUACUUUGCAUGGUCAGUUAACUAUGCACAGUACAGAUUUAUGUAGAGCCCAUUGGGGACAGCCUUUUGAUUUACAGAUGCUUACCAUUUUAAUGGUAAAUGACAGAUCAAAUCAACCUCGGAAUUCUAGAAGCUUGUGGACACUAGAUUGAUUUCUUCAGUACUGUUGAUGCUUCAAAUAUAGCAGCUGAUUUUAAAUUAAGAUUUCUAUUAACACACCAGUAUCUCUUUUUAUCCACAAAUAUAAGGCUUAUGGAAGUGUAAACAUCCAUAUCAGUGCUGAAAAAUACGUGCGUAGCACUUUAAUGCAUAGCUUUAAAGCAGUGUUUGAUUCACUAAAUAUACUAAAAUAUUGACACUGCUUUCCAAUAAAAUUAAAUUAUAUAGGGCCAGUUUAAUUUUUCUAGAAUUCUUCAAUGCUUCUAUUGUACAAUACUCUUACAGUACAAAUCAGCGUCAAACAUGGUGAACUGACAAACCAAAUAUUACUUUUAUUUUAAAGUUACUCUGGGGACUCUUCUGGUUUAAUUCCCAUCUGUAAAAUAUUUGAUAGUGAAUUCAUGAGGAUUUUAAUUUUAAUAAACUAAUGGAAAAUACUUGUGUGCUUCUGGAUUGAUUCUCAAAAGGCAUAAUAGAGUAAAUAAGGCUUCCUAGCUCUUAAUGAAAAUCAGUGCAUUGAAUAGGUGGUAUUAUGCACUGCUUGGUUUUGGUUGUUUUUUUUUUUUUUUUAGUCUGUUCUUCUAAUUAUCUGGUUUUCUCUAACAUAAAUCAGAAUGGAUACAGUAAGUUUUGUAAACUGAAAUUAAACACUGAAAUAACUAUCCCUUGCCUGUACCCUGGAUUGUUUUCCAAGCACAGCACUCUAGUGACCAAACUUAAGCAAACAAAUUUUGUAACUUUGACUACAGUGUAAUCCAUACAGAACAGUUUUUCUAAAUAGUAUCAAACUGAAAAUGUUAUUUUGGUUGAUACAAACCAUGUGACCAGAAUGGCUCAUUGGUUGUAAAUGCUGCGAGGCCUAGUUGCCACUGCAAAGGCUAUUGCUGCAAGGCACCGACCUGUACAACAGAAUACUGGUAACACUUUACCUCAGAACUGUGUAACAUGCUGGAAAUUACAAUAUUUCUGUUAUAUUUAAGUACUAGUUGUUUUACUUCAAAACUAAUCCAUCAGCAAGUCUGACUAAUUUUCAGGUAAUGGGCACUCAUUAAUUCUGUAAACUAACGCCAAUGUACAUUAAUCAUGCUUUUCCAUCACCAAUUGCAUAAGCACUACUGAAGAUUAUUAGAAAACUGACAGUUGUGACAGUGGUGUAAGAAUGGUAACAAAGGAAUUGCAGUACUAUUCUAGCUUGGAUUGCUAUUCUGGUUAGGGUGAUACGCCAGUGAUUGUGGGAUCUCUUCUAGCUUAGUACAAAAUUUACUUUGAGGAAAAAAAUUGAGAAACUAGGUUCUGUAACACAUUGGUUUCUUUAAGGCUAAUUUGUAUUUUUCCUCUGACCUUGAUAUUUACUAUGGCUGAUUUUUUUUUUUUUUUUCAAUAGCUGCAAUCUAAAUAACAGACUUAAUACUGAGUUUAUCAGUUGCCCAUAUAUGCUUGUAUUUUUCUUCAGGUAUUGCAAAAGAAACAUAAUGAACUGUGUGUUCUUAGAGUAACACAGUUUGUUCUGAAGUAUUUUUUCCAAUUGCAGUUAAUGAAAGCCCGUAUGUUUGUACCUUUCCAAUCAGCAAUUAUUUUAAGAUACCAAAAGAACAUUUUAUUAUGCAAAUCUUGCCUUUUUAAUAUGAAAGACAUAAAUUAAAUUAACUAGCAAAUACCCUGCAAACUUUGUAGAUGUGUUUUUGUUAAGACUGUAUAAAUUGCAAAUAUUUGUACACUUUGAAAGAGCAAAAAAAAAAGAAACUAGAGGAGUCUUAAUAGCUGCUGUUGCACUAGAAUCCUAAGUUCUCGUCAAGCAGUUUUUCUUAGUCAACUGAUACAUUAAUGCAACUGUUUUCCACUAUUCAGUUCUAAGCCGAAAUGUGAUUUUGUUUCAUAGGUGAUAGAAAUGAGUAUGUUUGCAUUUGGACGAAAUAGACAUUUCAACUUACCAAGCUCUUAAAGGAAAAUAGGUAGAACAUAUGUUCAUGAACAUGUAGAUUAAAUCCUUUUGUGGCCUUUGUUUAUCCUCUUCUAUUUGUUCCCUCCCUUCUCCCUGAUGCGUGCAAAAAAAUCAUUGCUAAGAAUGUUGGUCACAAUCUUUUGUCUCUACUUGGCUGUGUUUUUGGUCUCUUGUGCAUAGGCAGGUGUUAGAACUAGAAUAAUCAUUUCUAGAAAUACACCGUGAAAGCAGAAUGCUCAAUUACACUGUGUUCUUCUGGUGCAUUUACACAUUAUAUCACACUAAAAAGUACAACUGGCUGCUAUGGUUUUUUAAUAUAUAUUUCAUUUUGGUAAACCCCAGCCUUUUUACUAAUAUUUGACCUGGUUAAAUCUCGUUAAUCUGUUUGAAUUGUAUUUGUUAAUAAUGCAAAUAUUUCUAAUCAUCUUAAGAGUAAAACACUUCAUUUUUGUUAAUGGUUUUGGGGAAGGAUUCUAACCAAACCAGUUUGAAGAAAAAUAUGAACAUGUGCCAUUGUAUUAUAACACUAUCCACUUUCUUGACAGUUAAAGUCUUUUUUUAUUUUUUUUGUAGCAUGUAAUGUAUAUGUUCAUAGUACGUGAAGUAAAUAAAAGUAUAGCCAAAACUUUGA